UACGGAGGGUGCAAGCGUUGUCCGGAUUUAUUGGGUUUAAAGGGUGCGUAGGCGGUCUUUUAAGUCAGCGGUGAAAUCCCCCCGCUCAACGGGGGAACUGCCGUUGAUACUGCAAGACUUGAGUUCGUGCGAGGUUGCUGGAAUGCGUGGUGUAGCGGUGAAAUGCAUAGAUAUCACGCAGAACACCGAUUGCGAAGGCAGGUGACUGGCACGCGACUGACGCUGAGGCACGAAAGUGUGGGGAGCAAACAGG
rnacentral:rRNA from 1 species